GGAACACGUGAAGAAUCUGCCUUCAACUUGGGAUAACUCCGGGAAACCGGGGCUAAUACCGGAUAUGAGCCUUGAUCGCAUGAUCGGGGCUGGAAAGUUUUUCGGUUGAAGAUGACUUCGCGGCCUAUCAGCUUGUUGGUGAGGUAAUGGCUCACCAAGGCGACGACGGGUAGCCGGCCUGAGAGGGCGACCGGCCACACUGGGACUGAGACACGGCCCAGACUCCUACGGGAGGCAGCAGUGGGGAAUAUUGGGCAAUGGAGGAAACUCUGACCCAGCGACGCCGCGUGAGGGAUGAAGGCCUUCGGGUUGUAAACCUCUUUCAGUAGGGAAGAAGCGAAAGUGACGGUACCUACAGAAGAAGCACCGGCUAACUAUGUGCCAGCAGCCGCGGCAAUACAUAGGGUGCAAGCGUUGUCCGGAAUUAUUGGGCGUAAAGAGCUCGUAGGUGGUUCGAUACGUCGGAUGUGAAAAUCAGGGGCUCAACCCCUGACCUGCAUCCGAUACGGUCGAGCUAGAGUUUGGUAGGGGAGACUGGAAUUCCUGGUGUAGCGGUGGAAUGCGCAGAUAUCAGGAGGAACACCGAUGGCGAAGGCAGGUCUCUGGGCCAAUACUGACACUGAGGAGCGAAAGCGUGGGGAGCGAACAGGAUUAGAUACCCUGGUAGUCCACGCCGUAAACGGUGGGCGCUAGUUGUGCGAACCUUCCACGGUUUGUGCGACGCAGCUAACGCAUUAAGCGCCCCGCCUGGGGAGUACGAUCGCAAGAUUAAAACUCAAAGGAAUUGACGGGGCCCCGCACAAGCAGCGGAGCAUGCGGCUUAAUUCGACGCAACGCGAAGAACUUACCAAGGCUU
rnacentral:rRNA from 1 species